GGAGAAGUCUUCCACGUAGCUGUACAUGGGAUACAUGAGGGCGUCUCUGAUGUUGGAGUGGUCCAGACCCAGGGCAUGACCAAACUCGUGGGCCGCAACCAGGAACAGACUGUAGCCUGAGAGAGGAGAGGGUCCCCUUCAAAGGUCUGGUAGGAGCGUAUAUCAGGGACCCCACAGCGAGGUGCCUUCAUUGCUGCUACCGUAGACUUGUCCAGCGUCCCUGUCUCCUCCAACCCCAUCUGCCUCUGCAUUCUCAUCAGAGCCUUGGAGGUGGACACCAUAGACUGGAAACCACUGCGGUGCUGAACGUUCAUGUAGCCAAACCUCUUCAGGUAGCUCUGGAGCUCCAUAUCCGUCAUGUUCUUGAGGACAUCUCCAGGGAAGGUGACAGACACAGUUUUCUCCAGGGGAACGCACCAUCCACCUACCGUGCACAUUGCCAACACUAGGAAAACCAGAACUCUAUGGUGAGAUCUCAUGGUGAGACCAAGGUAAGAUGAAAGUUGCCCAAAGUAAUAGAGAAGAUACGAUGUGAUGUGCCAGACAGCCAAUGAAGAGACUCUCAGUGACAGUAACAAAGCUUGCAGUGGAUCACUGUUCCUUGAAGUUUAGUGGAUAGGAUGUUCUCCUUUGGUGCUUUGUGCUUUGGGUUCAGUAUUUAUGCUCUCAGGCUUAGUCACCCUCGUAACCUCCACCCCCUUUCUCUCUCUCUCUCUCUCUCUCUCUCUCUCUCUCUCUCUCUCUCUCUCUCUCUCUCUCUGUCUGUCUGUCUAUCUCCCAGUCAUUACCCCUCCCUAUGGGAGUGAGCAUUAUGUUAUUGUUCAGGGGGUUUCCAAAAUGUAGUAAUCUACAAAUGUAUCCCAAUAUCUAACUUUUUUUGUUCCGUUUUGACAUGUACAAGGAUCACAGGAGAUUGGUGUAACCUUAAUUAGGGAGGACGGGGGCUCGUGGUAAUGACUGGAGCGGAAAUAAGUGGAAUGAUAUCAAAUACAUCAAACACAUGGUUUCCAUGAGUUCGAUGCCGUUGCAUUCGCUCUGUUCCAGCCAUUAUUAUGAGCUGUCCUCCCGUCACCAGCCUCCACUGACGAGGAUAACAUACACAGUUGAAUAAUUAUGUUUUGGCUUUUAUUCUUGUCAAAGCCAAGUCUAGGACAAAAAGGCUUCUCAACAGUUUUUACCCCCAAGCCAUAAGACUCCUGAACAGGUAAUCAAAUGGUUACCCGGACUAUUUGCAUUGUGUGCCCCCCUCACCCCCCCAAUCCCUCUUUUUUACGCUGCUGCUACUCUCUGUCUCAAUAAUGCAUAGUCACUUUAACCAUAUCUACAUGUACAUACUACCUCAAUCAGCCUGACUAACCGGUGUCUGUAUGUAGCCUCGCUACAUUUAUAGCCUGUCUACUGUAUAUAGCAUGUCUUUUUACUGUUGUUUUAUUUCUUUACCUACCUAUUGUUCACCUAACACCUUUUUUUGCACUAUUGGUUAGAGCCUGUAAGUAAGCAUUUCACUGUAAGACUGUACACCUGUUGUAUUCAGCGCCCGUGACAGAUAAACUUUGAUUUGAUUUGAACAGGGUAUGCCGUAAUGUCCCAGAAAUCCAUUGUUUUCAUUUCCUGUACGAGGUUUAUGGGAAAAGCACCUGCUGACAUGUUUAUUCAAUGGUCAUAUUCAUCUGUGAGGUUUAACCAGAGGAGGUUGUGUAACUGUGACACAUGUGGAAGAUACAUGUAAAAUACAUACAUGUAAAAUGUAAAAUAAUACACACACUUCUGUUAUCUAAAAUAAUACACACACUUCUGUUAUCUAAAAUAAUACACACACUUCUGUUAUCUAAAAUAAUACAUUGUAGCCUCAAAAAAAAAAAAAUUGUCUUUAAAUAAAGAUUGCUUCCGCUUUUCUAUUUUCAGACUUGGAAAACUGUGGCUGACUUGGUCAAGCUAUAACUACUGCACUGUCUAAGAUAUACAGGUGUAGCCUAGUGGUUAGAGUGUUGGACUAGUAACCGAAGGGUUGCAUGUUCAAAUCUCUGAGCUGACAAGUUAAAAAAAUCUGUUGUUCUGCCCCUGAACAAGGCAGUUAACCCACUGGUUCCCUGAACAAGGCAGUUAACCCACUGGUCCCCUGAACAAGGCAGUUAACCCACUGGUCCCCUGAACAAGGCAGUUAACCCACUGGUCCCCUGAACAAGGCAGUUAACCCACUGGUCCCCUGAACAAGGCAGUUAACCCACUGGUCCCCUGAACAAGGCAGUUAACCCACUGGUCCCCUGAACAAGGCAGUUAACCCACUGGUCCCCUGAACAAGGCAGUUAACCCACUGGUCCCCUGAACAAGGCAGUUAACCCACUGGUCCCCUGAACAAGGCAGUUAACCCACUGUUCCUCGGCCAUCAUUGAAAAUAAGAAUUUGUUUAUAGCUGACAUGUCUAGUGAAAUAAAGUUAAGAAAUAACAUUCUCUGUCUUUCCCCACAGAUCAAUGAGGUAACGGUCAUCAUGAUAUGACUGAAAGUUGACAUUGAACUAAAUACAAAUGAUACAAACGUCCUAAAUUGUUACAGAAAGUCUAUAAUACACAAAUAAAAUGCUUCUAACAACA